rnacentral:rRNA from 1 species
CAGUAGCCACGGUAAUACGUAGGGUGCAAGCGUUAAUCGGAAUUACUGGGCGUAAAGCGUGCGCAGGCGGUUUGUUAAGACAGAUGUGAAAUCCCCGGGCUCAACCUGGGAACUGCAUUUGUGACUGGCAGGCUAGAGUAUGGCAGAGGGGGGUGGAAUUCCGCGUGUAGCAGUGAAAUGCGCAGAUAUGCGGAGGAACACCGAUGGCGAAGGCGGCCCCCUGGACAAAGACUGACGCUCAGGUGCGAAAGCGUGGGGAGCAAACAGGAUUAGAGACCCCUGUAGUCCCUGUCUCUUAUAC